ACCCCCCUCCCCUCCCCUCCCCUCCGGCCAGCCUGGUCAGGGGAGGCUUGACAGACCCCACAGCAGGGGUCUUGCAUGGUAACCUGUGGAGGGUGAGCUGGGCUGGUGCAGCAUUUUGUGUGAGCUGCUGCUUGCGCUGUGGGCUCUUCAGGAAUAUGCUGCUUGCCAGUCGCACGCAUUCAUGAAGGGCAUCGGCACAUUUAUAUUAGGUACCAGUGGGGUGUUUGUCACGC